ensembl:lncRNA
CCUGUGGGCCCCUGGAAGGGUCUGGCAGCUCCCACGAUGGGCCCAGGAGCUCUGAGGAGUCUCUGGGCUGAUCUGGAGAUGUCCCAGUAGAGUCUGCGAGGGUCCAGGGAGCCCUCGUGUGGGUCUGGGUGGUCAUCCAGAAGGGUCUGGGGAUGGCCCAGAGAGGACUUGGAGGGUCUGGGGGGUCCUUUGGUGGGUUCAGAGGGUCCUGUUGUCUUCUGGAAGGGUCUGAAGAUGUCCCAGAAGUGUCCUGGGUGUCCAAAGGGUGCUCGUGUGGGUCUGGGGGGUCCUGGAGCCAUCCAGAAGGGUCUGGGCAUGGCCCAGAGAGGACUUGGAGGGUCUGGGGGGUCCUUUGGUGGGUUCAGAGGGUCCUGUUGUCUUCUGGAAGGGUCUGAAGAUGUCCCAGAAGUGUCUUGGGGUGUCCAGGGGGUGCUGCCACUGAGCCUCCCACUGUCCUAUGAGGGGACAAAAGGACCCCCCUGGGGGCAUUGCGUCAAAGUUGGGGACACUGUGAGCAGCUUGAGGACUUCCCAGGGGAAGUGGGGACACCGCGUCACUGUGUCACACCUCAAAGUUGGGGACACCCCCACUGUGUCACACCUCAAAGUUGGGGCAUCUCUGUGUCCCCCCGAUGGUGUCAGACCCCAAAGUUGGGGACACACCACAGUGUCACACCCCAAAGUUGGGGACACCCCCACAUGUUACACCCCAAAGUUGGGGUCUGUCCCAGAGGUGGGAGUGCCCCCACAUCCCCAC